rnacentral:ncRNA from 1 species
UAAGAUUAAACCAGCUUAAGCAGGUUAUUAUACAUAUAUUGACCCAAUAAUUUGAUCAACGGAACAAGUUACCUAGGGAUAAUAGCACAAUCCUAUUCUAUAGUCCAUAUCAACAAUAGGGUUUACAACCUCGAUGUUGCAUCAGGACAUCCUAAUGGUGUAGCUGCUAUCAAGGGUUUGUUUGUUCAAUGAUUAAAGUCCUACGUGAUCUGAGUUCAGACCGGAGCAAUCCAGGUCGGUUUCUAUCUA